AUCUUCAUCCAAUCUCAGCCAUCCAAUUAUUCUCCUCCUUACAAUUCAGUCAUCUCCUUUCUCUCUGACUCUGUGUUUCUUUCCAGCCAAUUCUCUCUCCUCUUUCUCUUUGUUUCUCUCACUCUUUAGUCAAACUUUUUAGGGUUUGAUAUUGUGGGAAUUUUUAGACAUUCAUCAAUGGCGAAAAUUAGGUUAUGUUUCAGCUGAAGCCGAAUCAUUCAACACCAAAAGCCUACCCGCCGGUGAUGGUCGAGAAGGAGAAGCUUCAACGACGUUGUUUCCCGGUUCACAGUUGGUGAUGGUGUCGUUGAUUUCUGACAGCAGCAAUGAGUCUGUGAGUGUAAGCUGGACUCCUUCAUUCCUUUUGAAACGAUAUGUCUUGACGGGUAUUCGUGAUGGCCCCCAUGAGCCAUUUAUCGCAGAUUCUGUUGACUUUGUUGUAUCCCAGGUUGAAAAACUUUGAAAGGAUGAUUUGGCAUCCAGAUUGACUCUAACAGUUGAUUCAGCUUCAGUAGGACCUCUUCUGCUGUCAGAUGCAACUAUAACUGUAAUGGAUCUAGCAAUAGCGGCAUCAACAACAGCUGCAACGACAGCAACAACUAGUGAUUUGAGUGAGAUACUUUUCGAAUUUCGAACCCAGAAAAAAUUCAACCCCACAAAAACUUCCGAUGAUCUGCCGGCCCGGCUCCCUCCUUUUUCAGCAGCGGCUUUCGAUUAUUGGCUUUAUAUUUCAAGGAAGGGUAUGUUUUGAUCAUUAGAUGGAUGGGAGGGUCAUUUGUUGUAGUUUCUCUCUCCUUAGUGACAUAUUCUCAAUGGCAGCGAGCCUCGAGUCACCAUUGCAAGCUUCAGCAGCAACCUCAAUCGCCAAGCUAGACACCUCAACCUUACUUCUUCUUGGCUUCCCAUCUCCAAUUCUUCUGGUACCUUUAGUCGGGUAUUGGAGUGCUGGGAUCGUGAGCGGAAAGAAUGGUCGCCCUAAAAAUUAUACGUGCAAUCAGAAAGUAUUGGGAGGCAGCAAUGAUUGAAAUUUAUGUGUUGCAACAACUGGGUAAACAUGAUAUAGGAGGUAGUCGCAUACACUGUGUGGAUUUUCUGAUUCGCAAUCAAUUGAGAGCUGCAUUUAGUUCAGUUGGCAAAAAUGGUUUCUUUCGAGAUGAACGACAGAAAAAGGAUUUAUGAUAUUUUUCACAACUCUCGGAGUUCUUAUGCUGUGGACAAGGGAUUACUUGCAAUGGAAAAUCAUUAGACCCCCUUCGUGUCUGGGAUGGGACUAACCAUCAUAUUGGCAUAUUCUUUGCAGUUUUUAAUGAAACCUCAGAAUUAUAGGGAGCUUUUUUUUUUGGAUUGCCAAAGUCCGGUGAUGGAAAUGAGUCCCCUCAAUCAAACAAAGUUCGAAGUGUUGCAGGAAGAUUGGUUGUUAGGGCUGCUGAGAGGAGGACCUGCUUGAUCAAGAAGGGAGAUACCUUUGUAUAGGAAGUAUGUUAAUGGUUUCAAGUUGCUAUGUGCUGUAAGUGGACAGACUGUAGCUGAGACUAUUAAAUGAUCAAGCUUUGAGUUUUUCUCAAGUCUACUGCUAGAACGGUUACUCACUUGCAUGAUUCAGGAACAUUCAGAUUAGAUUGUGAUUAUUAUUGUUUAUAAGACGCAUGAUUCACUUAUAGUUAUAGGUUACUCACUAUCAUGUAAGUCAUUUUCUUGUGCAACAUGGAUAGUGUCAACGAGAGGAUCAAAAGAUUUAAGAGAAAUAGGUUCACUAUGUGUAUCAAAAGACUCUCCUAUGUGUAUCAAAAGACUCUCCUGAGGUUGAACACGGUCCACAUGAGUUUGUAAGUCAAUUUGAGCCAUGAUCCAAUGUGAGUUUCAUAGAAGCAUUUGAGCAGACAGGAAGACAUGGUUGAGGAAAGCAUGAAAAAUUAAUAUGAAGGCUGAAUAGAGGAAACACGGAAAAGUAAGUGAGGUAUAAAUUUCAAAUGUUUGUAGGGAGAUUUAGCCUAGAAAUUGGUGGACAUCCUUUUGGAUAGGCAGAAUCAGUCAAUUAUCAUUAAGAUUUGUCAUCUCAGAUUCGGGAGAUUAUUGAUUCUUGUUCGUAACCAAAAACAAUAAACUGCUGUUUUGAAUGAAUAAUACUAGCCAUGUUAAGUCUUCCUGGAACCAAUGUUUUGCAUUUGUUAACUCACCCUUUGAGUUGUUAGAAAUUGAAAUAUGUGAUGUACUUUGGACACUGGACUUUAAUUAGCCUUCAGAAUCUUGAUGAGGACAACUUUGGUCAAUCACAUUUCGGUAUGAUAUAGAAAAGCAUCCUGAAGUACUCUUUUUUUCACAUCUUUUCUGCUUGAUCAUAGUUGUUUACACCUCUGCUGCAACGGGCUUCGGUCCUUAGAGUGAAUGAAUUAGAGUAUUAGAUCUAUUCAUGCCCAGUUCGGAAGUGAGAACAACUCUGAUCGAGGAUUAUUAUUGAGGGUGUGUUCCUAAAAUUGAAUCACUUGUUCUUCAUAUUGCAUUAGAAAAAUGCAUCUUUUAAAAAUACAUUUACAUUAUUACUUGUACUUCGUUUGAAUUAGUACUGCCUUAUCUGUUUUGCUACUAUUGUCUGAUUUGGACGAGUUUACGUCCGCUCAUUCCACCUACUGAUAUUUUUGUUGCAUUGCCAGGUUAAAUUGGAUUCUUUUGGAGUCUCUGGCUGGUAGUCAAGAAAAGUGUCUUCUUUGCCGAGCACUCGGUGACUGUCAUUGGGUCAGCACUUACAACAUAUACCUCGAAUAUCCCGUCAAAAAAAAAACAUAUACCUCGAGUAUUAAUAAUGAGUCAAGGGUAGUUUAAACAUUCAAACAUCAUGUAAAAUGAAUCUUUUUAUCUUCGUUUCUUUCCUCUACAACCCUCUAUCAAUAUGCGUUUUCUUUUUAUGUAUAUAAUAAAGUCAUAGAGACGAUUUGUGUUCCUACAGACCACUCUAAUCAUGUGUCAAUUUUCUUUCUUAAUGCCAAUCUUUGUUUCUUGGUAAACAAGUACAAAUUUGCAGUA